AGCAUGAAGCCCCCCUCAAGAUGAGAUUUCCCAACUUCGGUUAUAAGAUCCCUCAAAGAUGAUGAGGUUAAUAGGUUCGAGGUGGAAGCAUGGUGACAUGUGGAGCUGACGAAUACUAAUCGAUCGAAGACUUAAUCAA
rnacentral:rRNA from 1 species